GACUUGUAUAACUGCCUCGGCAUACACCACCUAGAGACUUGGUCAUGUUAAAAAGCGGGCAGGGGGAAGAUGCGCCAUCAUUCACCAGGCUCGUGAGGGCAUCUGGCAGCCACCAAGAAUGUGGAAAAUGACUUGGAAAAGAGAUUAAGCCAGAGCCUCCUGCGCCAUCACCAGCUCUCUUUGGAGCUGAUGGGAGAGAGUUGGAGACAUGAGGAAGAGCGUGAGGAAGAGCUGGCAUCAUGGGUCAGAGAUGGGCUGGCUCUGUGGCGAAAUGAAGGAAGAAAUCAACCAGACGCCUGCACUACCACUGAGAACUUGGGGGGGGGCAGCGGGAGGAGGCAGGAAGCAAGGGAGUAUGAGACCCCAGCUACAGGAAAGAGCACCAAGAUGGCAGCCGGUCCCCUCAGCCCCUUCCUUAAUUCCUUCCAGUUAAUGUAAGUGUAGAGGAGAGGAAGGGAGGGAGAGAGAGAGAGAGAGAGAGAGAGAGAGAGAGAGAGAGAGAGAGAGAGAGAGAGAGAGAGAGAGAGAGGAAAAAGAAAUGCUAAUUGAGCCGGGGACACUGACAGAUCUAACAGAAAGUGUCUUCAUUGGGAAAUUGCCAUCUGAAGCCCCCUUGUUCCUUCAGAAAACCAGGAGGAGUGAGGCAGAGGGAGCCUGACAGGAAGUGAGGACUCCAGACUUCAAACACAAACAUUAUGAAAAACAAGCAACAUCUGCAAACAGAUGAACCCUUUAUUUUUGACAACAAAUACGAGAUGGCUGGCAGGUACCGUGAGCUCUGUUCCAUGAAAUAUUUAGUAAGGCAAUAGCGACUCCCUGGACAGCUUAAGAAAACCACGAUUAUAUUCAGAGAGAAAGCCACGAGCAAACAGAGCGGGCAAAACACAAAGGAAGAUAAGGGAGGAGCUUUCAACAGGACUUCCUGUCCAAUAAGGCAACCAGGCUUGAUCCAUAUGUUUUGAGAAAAAUCAAAGUGUCAGAACUAUCCAAAAUGUCAAUCGCUCCGACACUCUUGCUGAGGGACUUCCUGGACAGUGGCGUGGAACGAAGCAGGCUUCAUGCACCGGGCCACCUGAGGCGCAAGCCUUCGGCAGUCUUAAUAUUGCGAUGAUCCGAGAAAAUGACUUAAGGGAUGAGCGAAGGAAUAUUCCACUCAUCUCGCUAGGUGCCGGGUACCCAAUCACGGGGUGACCCACUUUGGAAAGGCCUUGCAAGGCAGCAGAGGGACUGACUCCCCAUGUGAACAACAUAAUGCUGCUUUGGCAAAAUGUAAACAACCCCCCUUCCCCCCGCCCCCCCCCCCCCCUUGGGACUGGCCUGGUCUGUAUCUGGUUUGACAGAACUUUCUGGCUGCUUCUGAUUGCCUCUGCCACAUCCUGGAAAUUCUAGAGGGACAGACCAUACAGGAGCUGCUGUCUGUGCCUGGUGGAAUCUUAAACAGAAUGAAACAGGCCCCCAACAAUCAAUAUUACCGACAAAUUAAUCUCUGCAAAUAAACUGCUUUGCACGUCAAGACUGUUCCAAGUCCCCAGAAUAAUUGUGUCAUGGAAGUUGAGGUCUUUGCACCAAUUCCGUGGCAUUUUUAUUUUCUCCUGGGCAGUGGCAGUAGCAGCAGCAGCAGCAUUCAAGGCUGUCUGAAGAAUGAGGCUCAGAGAGUCAGUCCCCCCAGCGGCCUCGACCUCCAUCUCUGCUUAAGACUGUUAAGGCAUCUACCCUUUCUGGAGGGAAGUGAGAGGACAGUCAGAAGUUGUCUAUACUGCCCAGACUCAAAAAAAUCACUGGAAGUUCAGCUUCAGCAAGGCUCCUCAAUAUGAGAAUUUGGGUUCAUUUUCCUCUAAGGAACAGAAAGGGCAUGGGAUAUUUUUUUGUGACUUCCUAAAUCCCUGAAGCUGUCAGAAAGGAGGCCAGAGGAAAGUGCUCCGUACCCAGUCUACACCAAUAUUAAAUCUUGGCCCCCUCUCUACUAUCUGAUGACCACCACCCCCACAGGCAGCCUUCUGCUGUGCAGUAUCUGGCCCCUCCCCUCUUCUGUCAUCCAGCUCUGAAGGAUUAACAAGUGGAAGGCAGUGAGGGACAAGCCAUCGGGCAGAGAUUCCGUUCCCACUGAUCUGGGGUCUGAGCUACCUGGGAAUCUCAGAGACAAGAACAGCCCAGGAACAGCCCAUCGCAGCAGGAAUCAGGAGUCGCCAGCCUAUAGUUGUCAUUAGUAUGUAAAUUUUAAAAGCUCAGUCAAAAAUAUCAAUACCUCCCACUUAAUUUAUUACUAUAUAAAGAUGGAUGGUGGCGAAGCAUAUCAUUGAUUUUCAGAGCUCUUAAAAAAUGGCAAGGAAGAAAAUAGUCCAAGACAACACAAAACACUGUGUCUCAAAAUUAAUCACUGUGUUUUUUAAACACACACACACACAUACACACACACACACACACACACACACACACACACACACACACAAAUGCACUGUACAGCAGCCCGUAUGGUUCAAUCUUAUUUGAUUGCCUAUUUUGAAAAUGAAGAGAUGGAGCAGGGCAUUUAUGUAAAGAGCUCUCCCGCUCAGAAUGGAUUAGAUGGAGCAGGUUAGCAUUUUUACUGUAUCGACAGCAGACUCUUAGACAGCCACACUCCAGCCUGGCUCUUGAGAGGAAAUCGAAGUGAAUGCAGUCCCUUGGCAGAGCCAGGAAGGAUAACCUAUCAGUCCCCAGACCUCAGGCAGCCUGGCGUUCACUGGCCAGCUUAGGCCAGGCUGGCUCCUCUUAUUCUUUGACGCAGUAAGACUGCCAUUCUCCUGUUUAUUGAAGUGUUAGAAGAGAUAUUCAUGAUCAUGGAACUCAUAAGCAGACUCAUCACCAGGUUCCAGAAAAGCCCGUAACCUGAGAAUUCCACGUGUGUCUGAAAUGACAAGGAAACCAGGGCCUGAUCAUCCCCUGUGCUGCCGAAGGGUCACUUCCCUGCCCUUGACAUUUGGAGAUGUUUGCAUUUAUACAGAGGGGGAAGGGGCUGGAGAAGAGAGAUUUUUGAAGAGGCAGAGAAGACAAUAAAGGUGCAGUUGGUGGAAA